GAUGAACGCUGGCGGCGUGCCUAACACAUGCAAGUCGAGCGAACAGACGAGGAGCUUUUUCCCCUGACGUUAGCGGCGGACGGGCGAGUAACACGUGGAUAACCUACCUAUAAGACUGGGAUAAUAACGGGAAACCGGAGCUAAUACCGGAUAAUAUAUUGAACCGCAUGGUUCAAUAGUGAAAGACGGUUUUGCUGUCUCUUAUAGAUGGAUCCGCGCCGCAUUAGCUAGUUGGUAAGGUAACGGCUUACCAAGGCUACGAUGCGUAGCCGACCUGAGAGGGUGAUCGGCCACACUGGAACUGAGACACGGUCCAGACUCCUACGGGAGGCAGCAGUAGGGAAUCUUCCGCAAAGGGCGAAAGCCUGACGGAGCAACACCGCGUGAGUGAUGAAGGUCUUCGGAUCGUAAAGCUCUGUUGUUAGGAAAGAACAAAUGUGUAUGUAACUAUGGACGUCUUGACGGUACCUAAUCAAAAAGCCACGGCUAACUACGUG
rnacentral:rRNA from 1 species